rnacentral:rRNA from 1 species
GACGUAGGGCGCGAGCGUUGUCCGGAUUUAUUGGGCGUAAAGAGCUCGUAGGCGGCUUGUCGCGUCUGCUGUGAAAACCCGAGGCUCAACCUCGGGCCUGCAGUGGGUACGGGCAGACUAGAGUGCGGUAGGGGAGAAUGGAAUUCCUGGUGUAGCGGUGAAAUGCGCAGAUAUCAGGAGGAACACCGGUGGCGAAGGCGGGUCUCUGGGCCGUAACUGACGCUGAGGAGCGAAAGCGUGGGGAGCGAACAGG